rnacentral:rRNA from 1 species
AUACGGAGGGUGCAAGCGUUAAUCGGAAUUACUGGGCGUAAAGCGCUCGUAGGCGGCUUGUUAAGUCGGAUGUGAAAGCCCCGGGCUCAACCUGGGAACUGCAUUCGAUACUGGCAAGCUAGAGUAUAGUAGAGGCAAGUGGAAUUCCGGGUGUAGCGGUGAAAUGCGUAGAUAUCCGGAGGAACAUCAGUGGCGAAGGCGACUUGCUGGACUAAUACUGACGCUGAGGAGCGAAAGCGUGGGGAGCAAACGGGAUUAGAUACCCCAGUAGUCC